rnacentral:tRNA from 1 species
GGGGUCGUAGUUCAGUUGGUUAGAACGCAGGCCUGUCACGCCUGAGGUCGCGGGUUCGAGUCCCGUCGGCCCCGCCA